UCCGAUCUGCCAAAGAAAAGAAAUGGAGGAAAUAGAUAAGAAGAAGGUAUCAUCAUCAGGAUCCUUUUGGAAUUGGGCAAUCACAUCAGUAAUAUUGAGAUUAGUAAUCAUUUACUUCCCUCAGAAUCUCAAUUUAUCCUCUCGCCCUGAAGUCUCCACUCCUCUCACUAGCCUUCGCAGCCGUGCAUUCCAUCUAUUUGCGUCUUUCUGUGUAUAAAUUCGUGCAAGUAAUUCAAUUGAACUAAUCUGUAUUUUCCGGUUAAUUUUGUAGUGGCCGAGGGUUACUGGUUAAAGCAAUCAUCAAUGUCGCCUUAUGCUGGUUCGUUCAUUCAUACUUCUGUGUAUAUGCAUAUCUUUAUAUAAAAAAAAUGUAAAAUUUACAAAAAAAAAAAUAGUGUUGCAUACAUGUUCUAUGUACCAUGGAUCUCCAAUUUUAUUGUCAAUCCUUGGUCCACUUGCUGUGAAUAGGUAAAAAAUUAUGAAUAUAUAUAUAUAUAUAUAUAUAUAUAUAUAUAUAUAUAUAUAUUUUUUUUUAAUUUAGUAAAGAUUUGAUCUUUGAUGAAAGAUCACAUAUUUAAUGAAUUUACAGUUCAUUUCGAGUUAUAUUUAUGAACUAUUGAUGGGUUUGCAGAUUUGGAGGGCAACCCAAUCAUAUUUUAUGCAGGUAACAUUUCAUCUUAUUAAUUACGUGCCACAUUUCUGACUUAUUUGAAAGGACACUCUUUUAAAAGCAAACAUAGGUAAAUAAAUAACUUUGAAUUUAACAUGAUCAAUGGUCAAGAUUUCUGACUUACUUGUAUAUAGUUCUAUACGGUUGGUUGAUUUGAAAGUGGACUGUCAUUUUAGAAUAAAGGCAUUAUUAUCUUUUUAUUAUUCUUCACAUAGUUGGUUUAGUGAUUGCUUUGGCAAACUAUAUUAUUUGUAUCUGUCUAUCUGAUUCUAGACAUUAACACACUUGCACAAACAUAUACUAUGAUUAAUUGUAGGAAUAUGGGUUUAAAAUGCCUUAAAUUGAGAAUAUAGAGGGAUGGUACUAUUUGUUUCUUGCUGUAGCUGCACGUGUUUGCUAUACACUGAUGCUAAAUUAGUCUAUAGUGAAGUCUCUCUAGGUAGUCAAACUUACAGAGAUUAUGGGUGGGGUUAACCGUUAAGGGGAAGGCUGUCACCCCAUGUCUAGCCCAGCCGUUUGAUUAAUACUCCCUUCAUUCCAAAAUUAAGAUAUACGUUUUCCCUUUUUAUCCGUUUCAAAAAAAAGUAGUUAUAUUUCUACGUUAGGACAACAAAAUGACAUAAUAUUCAUAUUCCUAAUUUGUCAUACUUUCCUACAGUCAUGUAUAACAUCACACCACCACACAACUAAAUUAUUUGUUUAUUCUAUGAGUACAUUUGGCGGAAAAAAUCCGGUAAUAAUUUGUUGCUGAACAGCACGACAAUGCAGCCGCACCAUGGGCAAGAACAAUUGGAGCACGGCAGCGCUGGGAUGUAGAGCCAGAAUCCAACUUCAUUUAUAAUAACUUAAAAUAUUUUUAAACUAUUUAUAUCCUUUUUAAAUGAUUUUUAAAUCAAUAAAAUCAUUUUUAAUCUAUUUAUUCUGCCAAAGGGCAUUAAUCUCUGCAAAGUUCUGUGCAACAGGCUUCUCCCCUUGACCCAACUCACGGAUUUGCUUACGAAUGUCUUAUGCUUGGACAUAUCACUAGAAACGGAGAAAGUUUGGGAAAUGGUCUUCCAAAGUUCAUAGGCAGUGCCUAGAAACAUGUAACUACUUCGCAUAUUUGGUUCCAUAUAAUUAAAAAUUCAUGUUUUGACUAUGGAAUUUUCAGACUUCCAUUCUUCUCGAGUCAUCCCCGGUUGUGCAGGUAUAGUAGUUGUCCCAUUGAUGAAAUGUUGCAUACGAUUGGCCUCAAUUGACAU
rnacentral:lncRNA from 1 species